ACCGCUAUGUCCCAUAAUUGUAUUGAGCGUUUGACAGAACGUGGGUUAAGUGUCAUAAACUGGAUUAAACCUAAGGAGUUAAAAAUAGAUCAUCCAUACGAAAUAAUUAACUGCUACCAAAAGCCUUCGCAGUUUGACAGUACGAAAAUGCGGACCAUUUUAAUUUUAAAAGAGGGUCACCUGACUCUUCCAUGUCGUUUUAACGCUAUGGAAGAGGAGGUGAUGGAUGAGAUUAAAAAUGGGGGCAUAGCGGUAGUUUCCAAGGGGCCGAAAAACAGAACCUGGCUUUUAGAGUUUUGUCCAGCAUAAAUAACAUCAGCAGCAACAGCAGCAGCCACCGCAAGCAGCAGCAGCAGCAGCAACAACAACAUUGACGAUGCCAUCCUCUUCGUACCAGUUCAAGAGCGGCAACAGCAACAGCAUCAGCAACAACAUCAGCAACAGCAACAGCAGCAACAACAAGAGCUAACAUCUUCGCAGUCUCCCACACUACUGGUAUCGUUAACGACAUGUAUGAAAUUAACAGUGCAAAGCGAAGAUGCUAACCUAGCUGUACAUCAGCCUAAGGAAAACGUCCCGCCGUCAAUUAAAUGUGAGCGUAGUCACGAUGAAUAUGAAAGUAUCGAGCCAGAGUUGGUAGCACAUUAUGAAAAUAAUAAAAAGCAAUGGAUACGAGCAUUCCAAAACAACUAUCUUAUUAAACAAUGGCGUUUACCAAUGCCACUAAAUCAUUUUAGAGGGGAAGUGUCCCGUUUAAUGAAACACCAAUAUAUUCAAGGUAAUAUUCCAUCUGACGAUGAAGUAUCGGUGUAUUUUCUAACUGUAAUGUGGGAUGAAAUUAAUGAUGAGGUGGAGGGAGUGAUAGGAAAUGAAUCCAUAAAUUUCCAGGAUUGGUUUUUUUUUCUGUGUAGUUGUAAUGUAGAAGUAUAAGAGGAAUUGUAGGAAAUAUAAGAGGUAAAGCGCAUCCAUCGUGUAAUGUAAAUUACAAAGUAGCAAAAUUCAUACCAGUCAUCUUUCACAAUUUGAGUGGUUACGAUUGUCAUCUCUUCAUAAAAGAAUUAGCCAAAACAGAGGGAAGUUUAAAAUGUAUUCCCAUUAACAAGGAAAAGUACAUUUCGUUUAAUAAGAAAAUCGGUGAUUUUAGUCUAAGGUUUAUAGACUCGUAUAAAUUUAUGCCAAGCAGCUUGGAGAAGCUAGUGGGAAAUCUUUCAAGAGAGCAAUUUCAAAUAUUACCCAAUUUCAUUCCAUCACAUAAUCACAUUGAACGCGAGAAAUACAUGCAGAUUUUAACACGUAAAGGAGUUUAUCCCUACGAAUAUGCGAGUGGGUGGGAGAAGCUUGAAGAAACUUCAUUACCUUCUCAAACUGCCUUUUACAGCCAACUCACCGACUCACA